UACGUAGGGGGCAAGCGUUAUCCGGAUUUAUUGGGCGUAAAGAGCUCGUAGGCGGCUUGUCGCGUCGACUGUGAAAACCCGCGGCUCAACCCUGGAACUGCCUCUAAUACUGGGCAUCUAGAGUCCGAGAGAGGUGAGUGGAAUUCCGAGUGUAGAGGUGAAAUUCGUAGAUAUUCGGAGGAACACCAGUGGCGAAGGCGGCUCACUGGCUCGGUACUGACGCUGAGGAGCGAAAGUGUGGGGAGCGAACAGG
rnacentral:rRNA from 1 species